UCCCUGGUGGUCUAGUGGCUCAGACGCCUCGCUCUGAAUGAAGGGGGCCCGGGUUCAAUUCCUAGUUAGGGAA
rfam:TPA: Bos taurus chromosome 25, whole genome shotgun sequence.